rnacentral:rRNA from 1 species
GACGAACGCUGGCGGCGUGCUUAACACAUGCAAGUCGAACGGAAAGGCCCUGCUUGCAGGGUGCUCGAGUGGCGAACGGGUGAGUAACACGUGGGUGAUCUGCCCCUUACUUUGGGAUAAGCCUGGGAAACUGGGUCUAAUACUGGAUAGGACCAUGCUGUAGGUGGUGUGGUGGAAAGAUUAGUUUCGGUAAGGGAUGAGCUCGCGGCCUAUCAGCUUGUUGGUGGGGUAAUGGCCUACCAAGGCGUCGACGGGUAGCCGGCCUGAGAGGGUGGACGGCCACAUUGGGACUGAGAUACGGCCCAGACUCCUACGGGAGGCAGCAGUGGGGAAUAGUGCACAAUGGGCGCAAGCCUGAUGCAGCGACGCCGCGUGGGGGAUGACGGCCUUCGGGUUGUAAACUCCUUUCAGCCAUGACGAAGCCCUUGUGGUGACGGUAGCGGUAGAAGAAGCACCGGCUAACUACGUG